UCCUACGGGGGGCGGCAGUAGGGAAUAUUGGGCAAUGGACGAGAGUCUGACCCAGCCAUGCCGCGUGCAGGAAGACGGCGUUCUGCGUUGUAAACUGCUUUUAUCUGGGAAGAAAAUGCCCCUGCGGGGGAAAUUGCCGGUACCAGAUGAAUAAGCACCGGCUAACUCCGUGCCAGCAGCCGCGGUAAUACGGAGGGUGCAAGCGUUGUCCGGAUUUAUUGGGUUUAAAGGGUGCGUAGGCGGCUAUUUAAGUCAGUGGUGAAAGACUCCGGCUCAACCGGAGCAGUGCCAUUGAUACUGGAUAGCUUGAGUAUUGGAGGGGUACAUGGAAUUGAUGGUGUAGCGGUGAAAUGCAUAGAUACCAUCAGGAACACCGAUAGCGAAGGCAUUGUACUGGCCAAUAACUGACGCUGAUGCACGAAAGCAUGGGUAGCGAACAGGAUUAGAUACCCUGGUAGUCCAUGCCGUAAACGAUGAUUACUCGCUGUUAUGGCUUUAUGUUGUAGCGGCCAAGCGAAAGCGUUAAGUAAUCCACCUGGGGAGUACGCUCGCAAGAGUGAAACUCAAAGGAAU
rnacentral:rRNA from 1 species